UACGGAAGGCAGCAGUGGGGAAUAUUGCACAAUGGGCGCAAGCCUGAUGCAGCCAUGCCGCGUGUAUGAAAAAGGCCUUCGGGUUGUAAAGUACUUUCAGUCGUGAGGAAGGUGUUAAGGUUAAUAACCUUAGCAAUUGACGUUAGCGACAGAAGAAGCACCGGCUAACUCCGUGCCAGCAGCCGCGGUAAUACGGAGGGUGCGAGCGUUAAUCGGAAUUACUGGGCGUAAAGGGCACGCAGGCGGUUAAUUAAGUUGGAUGUGAAAUCCCCGGGCUUAACCUGGGAAUGGCAUUCAAGACUGGUUAGCUAGAGUCUUGUAGAGGGGGUAGAAUUCCAUGUGUAGCGAUGAAAUGCGUAGAGAUGUGGAGGAAUACCGGUGGCGAAGGCGGCCCCUGGACAAAGACUGACGCUCAUGUGCGAAGCGUGGGGAGCAAACAGGAUUAGAUACC
rnacentral:rRNA from 1 species